UUUUAGCCCGGAUAGAAGCGGUUACCCCACAGCUGGGUCGGAGUGAUUUGGGUGUAGAAAAGAAUUAUGAGGCUGGAAAACAAUGCUGCGAGGAGUAUGAGUGGAUAGCCGGAUGAAGC
rnacentral:misc_RNA from 1 species